rnacentral:rRNA from 1 species
GACGAAGGGGGCUAGCGUUGCUCGGAAUCACUGGGCGUAAAGCGCACGUAGGCGGAUUUCUAAGUCAGGGGUGAAAUCCUGGAGCUCAACUCCAGAACUGCCUUUGAUACUGGGAAUCUCGAGUCCGGGAGAGGUGAGUGGAACUGCGAGUGUAGAGGUGAAAUUCGUAGAUAUUCGCAAGAACACCAGUGGCGAAGGCGGCUCACUGGCCCGGUACUGACGCUGAGGUGCGAAAGCGUGGGGAGCAAACAGG